GUCUACGGCCAUACCACCCUGAACGCGCCCGAUCUCGUCUGAUCUCGGAAGCUAAGCAGGGUCGGGCCUGGUUAGUACUUGGAUGGGAGGGAUAAUGUUUAAGUAGUAUGUACCUUGUGGACA
rnacentral:rRNA from 1 species